rnacentral:rRNA from 1 species
GACAGAGGUCCCGAGCGUUUAGGCGGAAUCACUGGGCUUAAAGCGUGUGUAGGCGGACUUCUAAGUACCUUGUGAAAUCCCACGGCUUAACCGUGGAACUGCUUGGUAUACUGGUUGUCUUGGGCCACUUAGGGGCUACCGGAACAAACGGUGGAGCGGUGAAAUGCGUAGAUAUCGUUUGGAACGCCAAUGGUGAAAACAGGUAGCUGGGGAGUGUGCCGACGCUGAGACACGAAAGCCAGGGGAGCGAACGGG